GAUGAAGAACGUAGCGAAAUGCGAUAAGUAGUGUGAAUUGCAGAAUUCAGUGAAUCAUCGAAUCUUUGAACGCACAUUGCGCCCUUUGGUAUUCCGAAGGGCAUGCCUGUUCGAGCGUCAUUAUAACCACUCAAGCUCUCGCUUGGUAUUGGGGUUCGCGGUCUCGCGGCCCCUAAAAUCAGUGGCGGUGCCUGUCGGCUCUACGCGUAGUAAUACUCCUCGCGAUUGAGUCCGGUAGGUGACUUGCCAGCAACCCCCAAAUUUUUCAGGUUGACCUCGGAUCAGGUAGGGAUACCCGCUGAACUUAAGCAUAUCAAUAAGCGGAGGA
rnacentral:misc_RNA from 1 species